UGGGGAAUAUUGGACAAUGGGGGGAACCCUGAUCCAGCCAUGCCGCGUGUGUGAAGAAGGCCUUAUGUUUGUAAAGCACUUUAAGCGAGGAGGAGGCUCUCUUGGUUAAUACCCAAGAAGAGUGGACGUUACUCGCAGAAUAAGCACCGGCUAACUCUGUGCCAGCAGCCGCGGUAAUACAGAGGGUGCGAGCGUUAAUCGGAUUUACUGGGCGUAAAGCGUGCGUAGGCGGCUUUUUAAGUCGGAUGUGAAAUCCCCGAGCUUAACUUGGGAAUUGCAUUCGAUACUGAGGAGCUAGAGUAUGGGAGAGGAUGGUAGAAUUCCAGGUGUAGCGGUGAAAUGCGUAGAGAUCUGGAGGAAUACCGAUGGCGAAGGCAGCCAUCUGGCCUAAUACUGACGCUGAGGUACGAAAGCAUGGGGAGCAAACAGG
rnacentral:rRNA from 1 species